UUCAAUAAGAUUAGGGCUGACCUGAUUUCAACCUCAACUCUGUGUCUGCGUAUCCCUGAAUAUCUUUCAUCAUCUCAGUCAUCAAGAAUCUGUCUGCUUCUGCCUUAAAAAAAAAGUUUAACAAUCUGCAACCACUGCCUUUUGACAAAGGGAGUUACAAAGAUUCACAACCCUCUUAGAGAAAAGAAAUGUUCCUCACCAUUUCAGAUGGAUUCACCCUUACCUUUAAACAAUGACUAUCAGUUCUAGAUUCUCCCACAAAAGGGACCAUGUUUUCAACAUCCACGUGGUCGGCUCCCCUCAAUAUCUUUCAAAUUUCAAUUUAGUCUCCUCUUUCUUUUCUAGACUCCAGAGGAUCCAGGCCCAGCCUGUCUACCCUUUCCCCAUUAGGCACUCGACUCAUUCUAGGGAAUUGGAAAGGAUUUACAGACAGGCAGCUCAAGUCAAAAAUUGGAUCAACAGCUGCCAGUAACACUCAAUUCUCGAGAGCUUUGAACGUCUCAGGUAGGGAAGAAAAAAGCAUCGUUCACAGUGAAGAGAAACCAUACACAUGGUCUGUGUGGACAAGCCUUCAGUCAAUCGUCUGGCCUGUCGAUACCUAAAUGCAGUCAAAACAGGAUGACAACAAUGACAUCAAGCAGCACUUGCUUUGCAAUAUCAUUGAUGGAUCUCAGUUUGAGUUAAGCAAGGGCCACUCAUCUCCUGAUCUCCUUACAUUUUUGGUGCAAACAUGGACCAAACAGCUGAAUUCCAAAUGAGAGUGCGACUUUCCUGCCAUCUUAAGGCUCUAUUUGACAGAGCAUUGUAUCAAGGAAUCAUAGCAAAACUAGAGUCAACGGGAUUCAGAGAAUAUUAUUCUCGCUUUGAUUGUGGGUUUUUGAAAAGAUUGCGUCUUCAGACCUGAGUAGAUCAAAACAAGGUGAAUUUAUUCAAGCUUGUACCACAUAUAUGCGGAAAAGGUCUCCGAGUCUAGCUUGGAGAUACUCUACCAUUUGCAGCUCAAAACAGCAUAUUGAGAUGUUUUCACGUCAGAAUGGUUGUAUAUAACAUUGGCUUAAAAUAAAUUAGAUAAGUCAUUUACUACAAAAA